UUUACAAAGGGAAUAUAUUUAUAUAAUCCUUUUCCAGAGCUAUAGUAGGAUACUAACAGUUCCUAAACUGUGGCCUUUGUGCUCCCUCCGUAUCACAGAUCUUCUCCCCAAGGUGACACCACUCCAGCUCUCGUGACCAAAUAGAAGUUUUAGUUUUGUGUAUCUGGAUUCUUGUGCUCAAUAUUAUGUAUGACAAGACUGACCCUCUCCAUGGAGGUACCAGCCUAAGCAUGACUAUUAUUUGGGGACUGCUCUUUGUAAGGGAUCAUUCAAGGAAGGAUUUUUGGUGCAGGAGGUACUUCUUCCCUUACCUGGAAUUGCUAUUAAGCUUCCAAUAGAAGAAUGUAUUUUGAAAGAAGAAAGAGAACAUGUCUGCUAGAGGAUUGAAUGGAUUAUGUAUUCCACAGCUAUGCCACAAGUAAAAGAGAUAUAAAAAUGAAAGUCAAUGAUACACAAAAAGGAAAGACUCUGGUCUUGAAACAAUCAUUAGCUGAAGACUAUUGUCGGGAAGAGGAAUUUCAAAUUCUUGAAAAUACUCAAAAUACA